CCUACGGGAGGCAGCAGUGAGGAAUAUUGGUCAAUGGACGAGAGUCUGAACCAGCCAAGUAGCGUGAAGGAUGACUGCCCUAUGGGUUGUAAACUUCUUUUAUAUAGGAAUAAAAUGUUCCACGUGUGGGUUUUUGUAUGUACUUUAUGAAUAAGGAUCGGCUAACUCCGUGCCAGCAGCCGCGGUAAUACGGAGGAUCCGAGCGUUAUCCGGAUUUAUUGGGUUUAAAGGGAGCGUAGGUGGAUUGUUAAGUCAGUUGUGAAAGUUUGCGGCUCAACCGUAAAAUUGCAGUUGAAACUGGCAGUCUUGAGUACAGUAGAGGUGGGCGGAAUUCGUGGUGUAGCGGUGAAAUGCUUAGAUAUCACGAAGAACUCCGAUUGCGAAGGCAGCUCACUGGACUGCAACUGACACUGAUGCUCGAAAGUGUGGGUAUCAAACAGGAUUAGAUACCCUUGUAGUC
rnacentral:rRNA from 1 species